CAAGUUUAUUAAUAUUUACAUGUAUUUCUGCAGAAAUUUAUCAAAAGCUAAAAAUAGUAAUGCCAUGUGAUGAACCUUAGUGACAACCAAAGACAUUAUGACCCUAAAAAUGGGUACAAAA
rnacentral:snoRNA from 1 species